CUCCAGUGGAGGUAACUGCUGAGCAAAGGGGGAAGCUGGAAGUAUGCUUCAGUUGGCGUAAAGGACUGAAUUUAAGAGUUCUUGGGCGAUUCUUAAGCAGAAAGAAGGCCAACACCAGCUGCCGAGCACCAGCUCCCCUCCCCAGGGACUUCUCAGGCUUAAAGGGCACCUCCAGAAUGCGUGGCCCUCCACAGCGGGGAGCUGCUGACUGCCACGGUGAAUCGACUUACAGCCAACUUGCAGAUGCCUCCAUUCAUCCCCAGAGAGGACUUGGGGCUACGCUGGCACCAUCCCACGUUUGCAAGCUCUGACCUGAGGGCCUACUGUGGGUCUGCCCCUGGCCCCUUCAUGGACAAGCCUGGCUCAGCAGGCAGUGCCUUGUCUCCGCCUUUUCCGGCCACCCACGCAUCAUGGCCAUAUCACUUUCUGCCAGGACCCCUGCAUCCACAUGAGGUUUCCACCGUCCUCUCUCAUAGGGAAGGCCCUGCCAUCCAGAUCUCAAUGCCUGGAGCUCGACUCUCGUAGUCCUCAUUACGCGUGGCAUCUGUUGGUGCAACUCGUGUGCCGUCGUUUGGGGGUCCUCACACCCUUCUCCAAGCAGGCCAGAGCGUAGUGGGGAGCUCUGCCCCAAGCAAAUAGGGGAAUCCAGCCUUAGACUGACACAGGGCUGCUGUUGGGCAAAGAAGAAAACAAGGCCCUAAAGCUCUUGGCCCCCGUGUCAGAUGUUUCCCAUUGGUCCAGCCUCACAAAGCUGCAUUGUGAUUGUGAGACAAUUGGACUAGUUGUGAAAGCAUGCCCCCUCCCUUAAAUACUUGAAUGUAGAAUGGGGAAAAUGUUGAACUCGAAAAGGCGAAAUUGAAUUGAGUAGAACUGUGCUCCAAGCCCAGAGACGGGCCAGUGGCCUGGAAAGCCGGUUUUGCAGACCAGAGGAGGAGGCCUAGGCCUGGAUGCAGAGCUGGCUGGGCCCAGGGAGCUUCUACCAUUGCGUGCUCCUUCCCUCCUCCCAACCCGGGAGGGUCCAGGCGCCCUGGGCUCCAGGCCGCGGCGUUGUGCCAAGCCUGUAACCUUGUUAUUGGUAAACCACGUCACAGGUUAGUCACACGGGCCCAGAUCGAUAGGCGAUCGAUCAGGCAGCGGAUCGAUGGAUCUCGUUUCCUGGGAAAAUCGCCCUGCGUGACCCGCUAGGGGAGGGGCAGGUGGGUCGUCAAGAGGCUCUGGCUGGAGGAGUUAAGGCCGGUCUCCUCGUGGGGCCCUGGAAGUAACAGCCGGGUAAUAAACUACUUUUCAUUGAAGAGAUCUGAGGACAGCAGUAGCAGGGGCACAGAAAGGCGGCGACCAGAAGGC
ensembl:lncRNA